rnacentral:rRNA from 1 species
AUACAGAGGUCUCGAGCGUUGUUCGGAUUUACUGGGCGUAAAGGGAGCGUAGGCGGUUUGGUGUGUCGAAUGUGAAAGCCCGCAACUCAACUGCGGAAUGGCAUUCGAAACUACCAGGCUAGAGUACUGGAGAGGAGAGCGGAAUUCUUGGUGUAGCGGUGAAAUGCGUAGAUAUCAAGAGGAACACCGGCGGCGAAGGCGGCUCUCUGGACAGAUACUGACGCUGAGGCUCUAAAGUUAGGGGAGCAAACAGGAUUAGAUACCCUGGUAGUCCUAACCGUAAACGGUGUACACUUGGUGUGCGAGGAAUUGUCCCUUUGCGCGCCGCAGCUAACGCGUUAAGUGUACCGCCUGGGGAGUACGGUCGCAAGAUUAAA